GGAGAGGUAGCCAAGUGGUCGUACGGCGUCGGUCCUGAAAACCGAUUGGGCGCAAGUCCACGUGGGUUCGAAUCCCACCCUCUCCGCUA
rnacentral:tRNA from 1 species